CGACCCAGAGGCGGCCUGUACCCUGUUACGCCUGGGCAGAAGGGUGAUUUUGCACCUUUUUCUAAUCACCUUUGCCCGCCCACCUCACCCCUCCUCGCCCUGCCCACUUAUCCCUCAUCCCAUAAAUACCCGCAGCCCCUUGGCCUCCGGGAGGCGGGUUUGAGGUUUGUCUCCUGUCUCCUCGUUUGGCUGCUUUGCGGGCAAACUUUGGCGGCUCAGCCUCAGAUUUUGGCUUUCUGUGCAGCAGACAAGAGGCCCCUUGGGUAACAAGUGCACAGCCCCGCUAGGACACGCGCUCAGGACCACUGACUCCCACUGCCUUCAUCAACGCGCUGUUUGGAAACAUCAGGCAGUGGCUUUCAAAAGUUCAAAGGUUUUUCUGGGGAGACUAGUUUGGGUGUGUGUGAGUGUGUAAAGGUGUGGGCACGAUCGGCACACCGUCGCUCCUCUAGAUAACGUUCCAUGAAAAAGGAAGUCCAUUCUAAGCAAGAGAAGCGCCACUGCCCAGCAUCCGAGGGAUCUCUGCUGUCUCAUUUCCUGCCUAGAGGAUCUGCCCAUUGAUACUGAACAGAUGCAUAUACUCUACCCCGAGGCCAUUUACUCCGCCGCUAUCUUCACUCUCCUUCAAGGAUGUAAGGAGGGCAGUUUUCUGAACACUCUGCAGUCAGAAUUUUGUCCCAACUUUAUGGAACUUCUGUACUUUGAGGAUGUUACGGAUUCUAAAUUAUUUCCUAGCAGCACUAAGCCCACCUGUGGCACAGGAGGAGAAAAGGUCAGUUUACAGAAAAGCAUCUCUAACUCUGCUUCGGUACAAAUGUCUGAGCUGAAAAGUACUCACGUCUGGAGACACCGUUUGUUAAAAGGACACGUGCUGGCACCUUUAAAAAACGUGCUUCACCUAAACUGUGCUGGAGAACAAAACUGGAAAGACUGUGAUCUGUCCCACGUUUAUCCUCUAGCUGCACAAAUACCUGUGGGAAGACGCCUCAGAAACAGCUGUGGAGGCGGAUUCCGCGUGAAGGCGCACCUGGUCUGCAGUGCUGUGUGCUGAGCUGAGCCUCUGUGACUGAACUGCUCGGACACGGACGAACAAAUGCACGUCUGUUACAAAUGCACGUCUGUUACACACGCUCAGGCAUCAGCAGUCCUGGCGAAGAGGGGUCGCGAUGACGGUUUUGUCCCUACAAUCUAACAGUAAGCGUGUCGGAACCGCAUCUGGCACGGAAGCAGCUCGGGCGUGGUUUUCUGUGGUACUGGUGAUUCUUACUGGUGAGGGCCAGUGUUGUACUUGCUGAGUGCUGGGAAUAUGCCUCAGCCGAGAAUUUUAUGACCUGAUAGGAAAUGGCUGCCUUCCAGAAAUUA